rnacentral:rRNA from 1 species
GACGAACGCUGGCGGCGUGCUUAACACAUGCAAGUCGAACGGAAAGGCCCCUUUGGGGGUACUCGAGUGGCGAACGGGGGAGUAACACGUGAGUAACCUUCCCUUGACUUCGGGAUAACUUCAGGAAACUGGGGCUAAUACCGGAUAGGAAUCCUUGCUGCAUGGUGGGGGUUGGAAAGCUUCUGCGGUUUUGGGUGGACUCGCGGCUUAUCGGCUUGUUGGUGGGGUAGUGGCUUACCAAGGCUUUGACGGGUAGCCGGCCUGAGAGGGCGACCGGCCACAUUGGGACUGAGAUACGGCCCCGACUCCUACGGGAGGCAGCAGUGGGGAAUAUUGCACAAUGGGCGGAAGCCUGAUGCAGCAACGCCGCGGGCGGGAUGACGGCCUUCGGGUUGUAAACCGCUUUCAGCAGGGGAGAAGCUUGUGGUGACGGUACCUGCAGAAGAAGCACCGGCUAACUACGUG